rnacentral:rRNA from 1 species
GUGGCGCACGGGUGAGUAACACGUAGGUAAUCUACCUUUGGAUUGGGAAUAUCACCGAGAAAUCGGUGCUAAUACCGAAUAAUGCAGCGGCACCGAAUGGUGACAGUUGUUAAAGCGGGGGAUCGCAAGACCUCGCGUCUAAAGAGGAGCCUGCGGCGGAUUAGCUAGUUGGUAAGGUAACGGCUUACCAAGGCGAUGAUCCGUAGCCGGCCUGAGAGGGCGGUCGGUCACACUGACACUGACAUACGGGUCAGACUCCUACGGGAGGCAGCAGUCGGGAAUUUUGGGCAAUGGGCGAAAGCCUGACCCAGCAACGCCGCGUGAAGGAUGAAAUCCCUCGGGAUGUAAACUUCGCAAGAACGGGAAGAAUAAGUCGGUGCUAACACCAUCGGCGAUGACGGUACUGUUUGUAAGCUCCGGCUAACUCCGUGCCAGCAGCCGCGGUAAUACGGGGGGAGCAAGCGUUGUUCGGAUUUACUGGGCGUAAAGGGCGCGU